UCUCUGUUAGUAUAUCGGUUAGUACACGCGCCUGUCACUGCUUCCAGUGCGCGCGAAAGCGGGGUUCGACUCCCCGACAGAGAG